ensembl:lncRNA
UGUCAGUUAGGUUUACUGAGUAACAACAGUCAUGAAGACAAUACCAAACUGUCAGUUAGGUUUACUGAGUAACAACAGUCAUUAAGAUAAUACCAAACUGUCAGUUAGGUUUACUGAGUAACAACAGUCAUGAAGACAAUACCAAACUGUCCGUUAGGUUUACUGAGUAACAACAGUCAGGAAGAUAAUACCAAACUGUCAGUUAGGUUUACUGAGUAACAACAGUCAGGAAGAUAAUACCAAACUGUCAGUUAGGUUUACUGAGUAACAACAGUCAUUGAGAUAAUACCAAACUGUCAGGUAGGUUUACUGAGUAACAACAGUCAUUAAGAUAAUACCAAACUGUCAGUUAGGUUUACUGAGUAACAACAGUCAUGAAGAUAAUACCAAACUGUCAGUUAGGUUUACUGAGUAACAACAGUCAGGAAGAUAAUACCAAACUGUCAGUUAGGUUUACUGAGUAACAACAGUCAGGAAGAUAAUACCAAACUGUCAGUUAGGUUUACUGAGUAACACCAGUCAGGAAGAUAAUACCAAAC